UUUACUAAGUAGGAAGUGACAUGGAACUGCACUUCUGGAAAAUUACUUACACAGCUGGGUUAAGGUUGGAUUGGUGAGGGGAAGGACUUCGAAAAGGGAAACCAACGAAGAGGCUACAGCAAGUAUCCACUUAAAAUGAGCAAUUUUGAUUAUGCAGGCAGAAUUUCAUUUCAGAUGCCUUCCAUCUCUUGAAUAGUCUUCUUGUUAGGACCUUUGACCACUGAACCACAGGUGAGAGAAGAGGAGGUUACAACCUCAUCAUAGGGACUGGGUUGACCCCAAAAAAGAAAGGAAAAGAAAAGAUCACUAAUCUAUGUUUAAAUGCACAGAAAUGAUCAGAAGGAAGACCAGACGGAAACACAGGCAAAAAAGACAGGAAGCUACAUGCUGAAUUGAUUUAUAUACCUAAAAGGAAAGCUGUGUAUUACAGAGAUUCAGUUUUAUGUGUGAUCCCUC